UGCUCUGAAGAACCCUUGUUCAGCAACAACUUCAAACCCUUAUGACCAGAUCGAUCACAGGACCACCAUUAAUCUCUUCACUUCUUAAGACCCAUCUCGAAUUCAAAAGCAAACCCUAGUCUCUUCUUCAAAUGACUUCUUCUUAAUCAAGAGCACAAAGUCAUCAGUAUCAGCUUCAGACCCCCUUUUACAAAAUCGAUUGAACCACAACAACCCUAGUUCGAUCUGCAGUUGGAAGCAUCGAUCUGAGAUUUUAGGUUAUUUGUGAGAUUUGGAAGCAUCGUUCUGACGAUCAGAUAAUAAGGGUUUUUCAAGGUUGAACAACUUGAGUACUUUGAAGAAAGAUCUAUGUUGGAUGUUGUUUUUAUCAAAUUCCAAUUCAGAUUGAGUGGAUCUUUUCUUCUUACUGCCACAGAAGUGUUUUUGGUGCUGUUAGUUGUGGAAAUCAUCAUAAGAAUGAGGUAGUGAUGAAAGUAAUUCAUCCAGAACAACAGACGGGAAUCUUAUUUUGAUACUUCAGUUGAGAUUUUUUUUUUUUUGAUUUGGUAGUACAAGUUAUUACAAGGAUUGAUGAAUUUUAGUGUUGGUUUUGUAAUAUUGUAUAUUUAAAUUGUUAGUGUUACUGCCAAUUUAGAUGGUGAUGUUAUAAUUUGAAGUUAGCCCUAGGUAUUGUUUCUUCUAUGGGAGACUUGUUUAAUUUUUUUUUAUUUCUUUUAACGUUUUAUAGUUUAGCAAUGUAACAUCUCUUGUCCAUUUGUUCACAAUUGAUAAUCUGAAAGACUCUAAUCAAGAGAUGCUACUCUCCUUCUCCACUGGUAAUUGAUCAAGGAUUUCGAAUGUAACUGUGCAUACCAUGAAUGAAUCGAACAACACCAAGCAAAGCAAAGAAGCUAUAAGAAGGAGCUCAAUGCAACCAGGAAAAACACACCUCUUGACACUAAAACAGAUGUCCAUCUAGUGUUGGAUAAAAAGACUGAUAGAAGAGAAAAAGGGGUUAUUUAUUUUAAUUUUCAACGAAGAGUGAGAAAGAGGGUAGUGAAGUUUCGAAGAAAUUCAAGAUAUGCCGGCUCAUAGCAAAGCUGUUAUUGAGGAAUUUGCGAACAAGUAUCCGGAAGGGGAAUUUGCGAACAAGUAUCGAGGAAGCUGUUAUUCAAUAUAUGCAGCACCGGUCUUAUGCUAAUCUAUGUUGGUUGUCCGUUUAAAUUUAUUUUGUAUUAGCUUGGAUAGUAUUACACUUGGAAUUUUAUUAUUCAGUCUUUUAACUAAAUGCUGUCAUUUUUAGUACGAUCCGGUAAGUCUUUGUUGAGAUCUUCAUUACAUCAUUUGCAUUUUAUUCAUUAAGCCAUUGGGUCUGGUGGGUUUUCAUAAUUCAACAGUUUCUAAUUCUUGCAUAUUUGUGUAACUGGCAGUUCUAGUACAUGUCUAUUAAACAACAAAAGGUGACGAUGGAUUCAGUUUCGCAGGAAUCAGCAAAAGCUUAUGUCCUGUGCUGUCUAUAGUUGGUGCUGGUGGUGCCUCAUCUGUUUGAUUUUUGUGAUGAAUGGGUGGUGGUGGUGAUGAUGUAGGUUAAGGUUGGAGGAAAGAAUAUCACUUUCAAGAUAUGCCCAUGUAAUAUAUGGUUUUCAUCCCUCACUUACCUUCUUCUUGAACUUAAAAGAAUCAAAGGUUGCAGAAAAGAGAGUGUCAAAUUCUAUUAACUAUCUUAACAUUUUUGGAACAUGUUGUGUUGGGGAAUUUUCAACUUGAUUGGCUUCUAUUUACAACGGACAUGUUCCUUUCCUGGAAAUUGCAUGAUCAACAACAGUUACCGUGGACAUCUGAAGACGGCAUUCCAGGCCUAAGAGGUCAGCCGUCUGGUUCUUGCUUAUCAUGGAGCUUAUCGGAAACUCUUUGCGGAGCUAAAGGUUUUAUUUUUCAGACAACAGAUAAUGUGUUUCUUUAUUAGCUUAUGAUACUUGUAUAUAUUUGUAUCUCCU